rnacentral:rRNA from 1 species
CCCUCGGAGUUUUGUGGAGGGGGGCAUGAGCAAGAAUCAUGGGGGACUCCCGUGGGAGAGGGUGUUAAGGGUCGGUUUGGCCAUAGGAGGAAAGGGUAGGGAGGGAACGGAUUAUGUGGCGUGUAUGUCCCCGCGAAUAAGUGGGGACUAAGUGGGGGCUUAUCAGCGGGGUCCGUUCUGUAAGUAAGCAAGUAAGUGCCCAACGAGGGAAUACGGGGGCAAGGUUAAAAUUCGAAAGUAUAAAGCGGGGGCCCGCGCAAGCGGCGGAGCAUGUGCUGUAAUUCGAUGCAUCGGGAAGAGCGUGAGUGCGUUGUUCUACGCCGAAAAAGUUACAGAGAUGUAGUGUCCGCAAGGUCCGGCGAUAGGUGGUGCAUGGCUGUCAUCAGGUCGUGUCGGCAGAAGUGGGGUUAAUUCCCGCAGCGAGUGCAACCGUGGUCCCAUGUUACCAGCGGGUUAUGCCGGGGACUGGUGGGAGACUGCCGGGGUCAACUCGGAGAAAGGUGGGGAUGACGUCAAGUCAGCAUGCCCCCUAUGUCCAGGGAUGGACACAUGCUACAAUGGCCGGUACAAAGGGCUACUAUACCGCGAGGGGGAGCGAAUCCCAAAAAGCCGGUGAAAGUUCGGAUUGGAGUUUGCAACUGGACUCCAUGAAGUCGGAGUCGCUAGUAAUCCCGGAUCAGCAACGCCGGGGUGAAUACGUUCCCGGGCUUUGUACACACCGCCCGUCACACCACGAAAGUUGGUAACACCUGAAGCCGGUGGCCCAACCGCAAGGAGGGAGGGGUAAAAGGUGGGAUCAGCGAUCGGGGUGAAGUCGUAACAAGGUAAAUCCUAUUUUGGGAAAGGCCAUGGCGGCCGGGCCCAGUCNUGA